UAUUGCACAAUGGGGGGAACCCUGAUGCAGCGACGCCGCGUGGGUGAAGGAGCACCUCGGUGCGUAAAGCCCUAUCGGCAGGGAAGAAACAGACGGUACCUGACUAAGAAGCCCCGGCUAACUACGUGCCAGCAGCCGCGGUAAUACGUAGGGGGCAAGCGUUAUCCGGAUUCACUGGGUGUAAAGGGAGCGUAGACGGCGACGCAAGUCUGGAGUGAAAGCCCGGGGCCCAACCCCGGGACUGCUCUGGAAACUGCGGCGCUGGAGUACGGGAGGGGCAGGCGGAAUUCCUGGUGUAGCGGUGAAAUGCGUAGAUAUCAGGAGGAACACCGGCGGCGAAGGCGGCCUGCUGGACCGUGACUGACGUUGAGGCUCGAGAGCGUGGGGAGCAAACAGG
rnacentral:rRNA from 1 species